rnacentral:rRNA from 1 species
GACGUAGGGUGCGAGCGUUGUCCGGAUUUAUUGGGCGUAAAGGGCUCGUAGGCGGCCAACUAAGUCAGACGUGAAAUCCCUCGGCUUAACCGGGGAACUGCAUCUGAUACUGGAUGGCUUGAGUUCGGGAGAGGGAUGCGGAAUUCCAGGUGUAGCGGUGAAAUGCGCAGAUAUCAGGAGGAACACCGGUGGCGAAGGCGGGUCUCUGGGCCGAUACUGACGCUGAGGAGCGAAAGCAUGGGUAGCGAACAGG